rnacentral:lncRNA from 1 species
GAUGGCAGCCAAAGUUCUGUGGGGCAGCGUAGCCUGUGCUCUCAUAUCUGUGUUAUCUGCGGCCGGCGGGAUGUUGGUCCUGGCGUCUGAUGAGACGAAGGAGCAUCGGUUUGGCAAGAUGUGGUUCACCUUGCACCUCAUCACGGCCGGCAUUGCUGCCACUAACUACAGUAAAGUUGUUCACUGGCAGCGUGCAGCUCAGCUAGUAAUGAUAU